ensembl:lncRNA
UCCUGGAUCACUGAGAGUCCCCAGGGUCAUAGAUUAAUUGGAGUUUUGCACCUGGCUUUAUCCUUAAACUCUUUCCUACACAGGCACCUCAGAAUCACAAUCUCAGGAGCAUAUGAGAUCAGGACUGGUCUACGGAGACCAUCCAGGUGCACUAGGACCUCAAAGGGAAUCCCAAAUGCAAUAGCAGUCCUGACAAGUGGUCAAGAGAAAUCCAUUCUCCACUUGAAGACCUCCAUUAAAGGGAAGUCUACUGUCUCCAAAGCCAUCACUCCCUGGAGGACGGUAGAGCUGGUCCCCAAAGGUGUCACAUCCUGUGACAGAGGUACUCUCGGACCCUAGAAGGCCCGCAAGGCUCUUAGUGAAGGAAGGGGAAAGGAGAGAAGCCAACUGGGAAGAUGUGCUGACUAACUUCCCUGUGGCAGAUGAAUGAGUUCUCAGCACUAACAAACGGCUGUCGGAAAGGUGGAAGAAUGAAGGUAAUUAGUCCCUUUAAUGCCGAUUUCAGACUAAUCUUUCACACUUAAGAAAAUUGUUCCAAUGAUUUUCUUAUUUUCAGGGGAACUCGUUAAAUAAGAAUUAGAAAAUAGAUAAGGUAAUAGAUAAGAAAAUGGGUUUUGCCAACCAACAGCAGCCAAAACACUUGAGGAGCAAGCCGGGGUGGGGCACACCUGGAAGUGAAUGUCCUUGGGGGAACCAGGGGGUGUGGAAAGGACCCCCUGAGCCCAAACUUUAAGCUAGUGGUUGAGACUCAGUCCUCCUGGCUGCCACAAAGACUCAGAGCAUAGAAUGUCAGGUCUAGAAGGGCCUUUAGGACAUCUGAUGUCAGAACCAUAAAGGGUCUUAGAGCUGGGGGAGACUUUAGAGCCUGGAAAGAUGGAAUGUUAAAACUGUAAGAGACCUCAGAACUUAGAAUAUAGAAUGUUACACCUGGAAGGAACCCUGAAACACAGAAUAUCAGAACUAGAAAGCACAUUGGAACUUAGACAUAAAACAUUAGGACUAGCAGGGACCUUGGAAAUAUAAUCAUAGAAUGUUAGAGCUGGAAGUACCUUUAAAUACCACCUACUCGAAACUCCUCAUUUUACAGAGGAGGAUCUUAAGGAUAUGAGAACAGAGAUGACUUGCCCAAGGUCUCACACACACAGUGAGUUGGUAUCACUGUCUGGAACAAGUCCCAGAUCUCCUGAAUCCCGUUAGAAUUGCCUCUCCUUCCCUCCCUCCCCUUUCUUCAGGAUCCACUCAGAAUCCUGGUAUCCCUUAUGGCAGUAGAAUUCUGGUCUCUUCUCCCACAGAGGUGGAGAAGGGGGAUGAGAGAUGGAGGAGUCAGAGGAGCCCAACAUGGGCCCCUCCUCAGCCAUACUGUCAUGCCAUGUUUUCCUCCCUGGUAUCAUUUCCCUGGCAUGAUCUCUAGUGUCUCUGUGUGAAGGUUUCACCCCAUUAGCCUUGCUUAAAAAAGUGCAGCCGGGCCUGGGCCUGUUAUUGCCCACAUAAAUCAGGAGGCUUUGAAUACGGAACACCUUUAAAUAAACAGCUGAUGGGAGUGAAGUUCCA